GUGCUGUAUGAAAGGAGAGGUUAGUACUCUUGAAAAAGAUGAGAAGAACCUAGUUACUAAUGUAACACAUUCAUGGUUAAGGGAUUGCUACGCACUUCAUGGCCUCUCAUUAUGAUGUUGC
ensembl:snRNA